rnacentral:rRNA from 1 species
GACGAACGCUGGCGGCGUGCUUAACACAUGCAAGUCGAACGGAAAGGCCCUGCUCUUGUGGGGUGCUCGAGUGGCGAACGGGUGAGUAACACGUGAGUAACCUGCCCUUGACUUUGGGAUAACUUCAGGAAACUGGGGCUAAUACCGGAUAGGAGCUCCUGCUGCAUGGUGGGGGUUGGAAAGUUUCGGCGGUUGGGGAUGGACUCGCGGCUUAUCAGCUUGUUGGUGGGGUAGUGGCUUACCAAGGCUUUGACGGAUAGCCGGCCUGAGAGGGUGACCGGCCACAUUGGGACUGAGAUACGGCCCAGACGCGUACGGGAGGCAGCAGUGGGAAAUAUUGCACAGUGGGCGGAAGCGUGAUGCAGCAACGCCGCGUGCGGGAUGACGGCCUUCGGGUUAUAAACCGCUUUCGCCUGUGACGAAGCGUGAGUGACGGUAAUGGGUAAAGAAGCACCGGCUAACUACGUG